UACGUAGGGGGCGAGCGUUAUUCGGAAUUACUGGGUGUAAAGGGUAUGUAGGCGGUUCCUCAAGUCGCUUGUCAAAGUCCAGUGCUUAACGCUGGGUGCGCACGCGAUACUGAAGAACUAGAGGGCUGGAGAGGUGAGCGGAAUUCCCGGUGUAGUGGUAAAAUACGUAGAUAUCGGGAGGAACACCAGCGGCGUAGGCGGCUCACUAGACAGUUUCUGACGCUAAGAUACGAAAGCGUGGGGAGCAAACAGG
rnacentral:rRNA from 1 species